GCAACCCUCGCCGUAUGUUACAAGUGUCAUACGGGACUGCCGGUAAAAAGCCGGAGGAAGGUGAGGAUGAUGUCAAGUCAGCAUGACCUUUAUAUCCAGGGCUACACACACGCUACAAUGGUCUGUACAAUUGGUUGCCAAGCCGCGAGGCGGAGCCAAUCCGUAAAGCAGGCCUCAGUUCAGAUUGCAGUCUGCAACUCGACUGCAUGAAGCCGGAGUUGCUAGUAACCGCAGGUCAGCAAUACUGCGGUGAAUACGUUCCCGGGUCUU
rnacentral:rRNA from 1 species